rnacentral:rRNA from 1 species
AACGAACGCUGGCGGCAGGCUUAACACAUGCAAGUCGAACGCAUGCCUUCGGGCAUGAGUGGCAGACGGGUGAGUAACGCGUGGGAACCUACCCCUUGGUACGGGAUAGCUCCGGGAAGCUGGAGAUAAUACCGUAUGUGUCCUGAGGGACAAAGAUUCAUCGCCAAGGGAUGGGCCCGCGUCGGAUUAGCUAGUUGGUGGGGUAACGGCCUACCAAGGCGACGAUCCGUAGCUGGUCUAAGAGGAUGAUCAGCCACAUUGGGACUGAGACACGGCCCAAACUCCUACGGGAGGCAGCAGUGGGGAAUAUUGGACAAUGGGCGCAAGCCUGAUCCAGCCAUGCCGCGUGAGUGAUGAAGGCCCUAGGGUUGUAAAGCUCUUUCACCGGUGACGAUAAUGACGGUAACCGGAGAAGAAGCCCCGGCUAACUUCGUG